rnacentral:lncRNA from 1 species
CACUCAUUAACUCAGAGACUUUGUCAGGUAGACUAUGUAUACUUAUGUUAGUUAAAUCUUCACAGAGGAGGUUUUAUUGUUUUAAACUGGUACUUAUGCAAAGAGUAGGGUGAUUUUCUUCAGCCAGACGAGCCUAGAAAGGUUUCCAAAAAUGGUGAAUUGCUAUAUCAUCUUGAGCUUUGCAAUCUCAUAAUUAAAUAUUCAUGUCAAUUAUAUUUUGACCAAAGGGCAAUGAUAUAAACAGAUACUCUAGUGAAGAUUUGUAUAAGACUUUGAUCAUGUUGAAUUUGUCUGUAUUAAGUAUCAUGAUAAACAUAAUGAAUAAAAAGAGUUAUCAAAAAACAGUGGGGAACAGGAGUAAGACUGUAUUUUAUUCCAUUUAGUAUAAUGUUUGGUCCCCACAAAUGUGCCUUGGAAAAGAUCACAGAGAAAUAGAAAGGUAGAAAUUAUUUUUUGGUAAUAAAAUAAUCUGGUUUAGAAACUAGUUUUUUUUUUUCAGAACUCCAAGUCUAAUUUGCCUACUUAGUAGCAGAAUUAAUUGGUGAGCUAUGCUAUUUGAAAUUAGUGGUCAAUUAGUUCAUGUGACAGUUAUUGAACACUUACUACAUACUAUAUAUAAAAGAAUGCACUAGAUCUAUGCAGCGGUAAAAAAUAAAAUUCCUACAGUGAUGAGGCUGAUAACAUGAAUGGAUGGAUCUGGCUGCCUAUAACACAAUAGAGAGUGGUGAAGCCUAUGAUAUAAUGCAUAAUAUAUUCUGUUUAUUAAUCAAU